CACGUAGGGGGCGAGCGUUGUCCGGAUUCAUUGGGCGUAAAGAGCUCGUAGGCGGCUCAGUAAGUCGGGUGUGAAACCCUCAGGCUCAACCUGGGGACGCCACUCGAUACUGCUGUGGCUAGAGUCCAGUAGGGGAGUGUGGAAUUCCCGGUGUAGCGGUGAAAUGCGCAGAUAUCGGGAGGAACACCAGCGGCGAAGGCGGCACUCUGGGCUGGUACUGACGCUGAGGCGCGAAAGCUAGGGGAGCAAACGGG
rnacentral:rRNA from 1 species